UCACUGUGAUGAAAUUGAUUCCUAAGUCAUUCGUAGUUUCCACCAGAGGUCUCAGGACCAAAGAUGGUUCAAGUACCUUCCUUGGAUGUCUGAGUGA